CGCAUCUGUGCAUGCAGCAUAUCAAUAAGCGGAGGAAAAGAAACUAACAAGGAUUCCCUUAGUAACGGCGAGUGAAGCGGGAAGAGCUCAAAUUUGAAAUCUUCAAGGUUUUACCUUGACGAAUUGUAGUUUAAAGAAGUGUUUUCUGUUGAAGUUUUGGUAAAAGUUCUUUGGAAUAGGACAUCAUAGAGGGUGAGAAUCCCGUAUUUGACCAUUAUUUUCAGCUGUGUGAUACACUUUCAAAGAGUCGGAUUGUUUGGGAAUGCAGUCCAAAAUGGGUGGUAAAUUUCAUCUAAAGCUAAAUAUUGGCGAGAGACCGAUAGCGAACAAGUACCGUGAGGGAAAGAUGAAAAGAACUUUGAAAAGAGAGUUAAACAGUACGUGAAAUUGUCAAAAGGGAAGCGUUUGACACCAGUGUUGUUUUCUCGAAAAUCAAUUAAAAAGAGUUUAGAUUUUGUUGUGUAUUGACCUUAACAGCUUGCAUUUCAAUUUUCUUGCUUUUUUUAAUGCACUUUUCGUUUAACAAGUCAACAUCAGUUUCUUUUGUUGUAAAAAGGUCAUUGGAAGGUGGCUUUCUUUUCGGAGAAAGUGUUUAUAGCCUUUGACUCCUGCAAUCGGAGAGACUGAGGUCUGCAGCGUAGAUCCUUCGGGGUUAGAUACAUUUGUGCUAAGUUAUAGCUUUUUAUAGACAACUUGUUGACUAUGAUUAGUCUUGUAGCUUACUCGCUUAUGCUAUUUUACCUACGCUUAGGAUGUUGACGCGCGUGUGUGCGUG
rnacentral:rRNA from 1 species